AUCAUUUUGAGGAAUUCUAACAGCAGUUUCUAUUGGUAGUGUAAGUUGGGCAAAGUGUUUUAUUUUUUUAAGUAUUUCAAAGUAAAAUUACAUGUUAAUACGUAGUAUUAAUGGCGAGACUCCUGAGGGAGCAGUGCCAGUCGAAGACCGAGGCUGAGACGGCACCCUAGGAAAGCGAAGCCAUUCAAUACGAAGUAUUGUAUAAAUAGAGAACAGCAG
rnacentral:ncRNA from 1 species